rnacentral:rRNA from 1 species
GAUGAACGCUAGCUACAGGCUUAACACAUGCAAGUCGAGGGGUAACGAGAGGAAAGCUUGCUUUCCUUGUUGACGACCGGCGCACGGGUGAGUAACGCGUAUCCAACCUGCCCCCAACUAGGGAAUAACCUUGCGAAAGUAAGACUAAUACCCUAUAAUUUCCUCAGAUGUCAUCUGACGAGGAAUAAAGAUUUAUCGGUUGUGGAUGGGGAUGCGUCUGAUUAGCUUGUUGGCAGGGUAACGGCCCACCAAGGCACCGAUCAGUAGGGGUUCUGAGAGGAAGGUCCCCAACAUUGGAACUGAGAAACGGUCCAAACUGCUACGGGAGGCAGCAGUGAGGAAUAUUGGUCAAUGGGCGGAGGCCUGAACCAGCCAAGUAGCGUGCAGGAUGACGGCCCUAUGGGUUGUAAACUGCUUUUAUACAGGGAUAAAGUUAGCCACGUGUGGUUAUUUGUAGGUACGGUAUGAAUAAGGACCGGCUAAUUCCGUGCCAGCCGCCGCAGUAA